UGCAGUCGUCCUCUGUGGGAAGCUUUCUUGAAAAAAUGAAAACGGAAUGCCAAAACCAAGAUCCCUCUUCCAUAAAACCCAUCCACGUUUUCUGAGUCCAGACUUUUCAAGCCAUUCCAAAGAUUCAAAGCCCUUUCUAAUCUGAGUAUUCAACUCGGAUCAACAACUGACGCCAGUGAGUGAAAUCAACCUGGGACAGCAACUAAACAAUUUAAGAACGGCGAGUUUCAAGGUGGGUUGCUGGUUCAGAUUUGGCGUCUGUGAGCUACAAGGCGGGUUGCCGUGAUCUGGGCAUGACGGCAGUGGAGCUGCAAGGUGGUUGAGGCUUGAGUUUGACUUCUCCAGCGAUCUCAAGAGCUUGUCUGACGGAGAUAAGCAGCUAACUGGGUUGAUUCGGCAAGGGAGAGCUGGACAUACUUGGGGAAGUAUGGCCCUUAAUUGAACUCACCAAUUACCACUUGCAUUGUUGCAUUGCUUCUGCUUUCCGGUUGACAAUCAAAAUCUACACCUACCAGGUUUGAAUGAACUCCACUGUUGCUAAACAAAGAUUUCAAUGACCGAUGAUACUUCAUAAACCAAAACAGGGUUAGAGGACAGCGAAGCAACAAAAGCCCAAUUGGCUGCAACGAAAGCACAAUUGGCCGAAUUCUCAAACAAGCUUGAAGCUGCCUUUAAUGUUUCUAUGGACAAACUUCAAAGCUCUGUGAUAUGUCGGUUGGCGAAGAACAAGGAACCGCGAAGAGAGUGCAUAUUAGGACCACAUUACAGCUUGGGUAUGCCGCCGGCCAUCUUGACCAAGGCGAAUGGACGCUUACAACCGAAUGGAAGCACAGAAAAAAGCUGUGGCCCGUGCAUACAACAAACGAGUUAAGUCUAAGUCAUUUGCUGAGGAAGAUUUAGUUUGGAAAGCCGUUUUGCCUAUCGGAACUAAAGAUAAACGUUUCAAAAAAUGGUCGCCAAGGUGGGAAGGCCUGUUUAUCAUCGAUCAAGUGUUAGGAAAAUGUGCAUAUCAACUGAGAGAUCACGAUGGAGAGCUGCAUGCAAUGCCUAUCAACGGGAAAUUCCUCAAGAAAUAUUACCCCACUACCUGGGAGAUGAUGGAGCAAGAAUUAUAGUGUACCACCUAGGGAACAUCGGCCGAGUAUUAGACUUGUAAACUCGGCCGCCUAUGUUAUGUUGUAUGUUUUUGCAUAAACAACGUUUAAGUGUCUCUUGACAUCCCUUUAUUUA